rnacentral:ncRNA from 1 species
CGACCCCAGCUUAGGCAAGAACACCCGCUGAGUUUAAGCAUAUAAUUAAGCGGAGGAAAAGAAACUUACAAGGAUUCCCCUAGUAACGGCGAGCGAACCGGGAAGAGCCCAACAUGAAAAUCGGAUGGCAGUGUCACCUGAAUUGUAGUCUGUAGAAGCGUCCUUAGCGGCGAACCAGGCUCAAUUCCCCUGGAAGGGGGCACCUGAGAGGGUGAUAGACCCGUCGGGCCGGGACCCUGCUGCACCACGAGGCGUUUUCAGCGAGUCAGGUUGUUUGGGAAUGCAGCCCUAAUCGAGUGGUAAAUUCUGUCCAAGGCUAAAUACGGGCGAGAGACCGAUAGCGAACAAGUACCGCGAGGAAAAGAUGAAAAGGACUUUGAAAAGAGAGUUAAAGAGUGCUUGAAAUUGCUGGGAGGGAAGCAUAUGGAGGUCGACGAUGCGUCUUGGUCGGAUGCGGAAUGGCUCAAGUUGGUCCGCCGGUCAACUCGAGGUGCGAACUAGCGCAGGCCGUUGCAUCGACACAAGUGCAGGUGGAGUACUGACUGUUGGUUUGUUGUUGUGGUGGUCGAGGAACGAAGCGUGCGCCCUUGGGGUGGGCCACUGUGCACCUGCAUGCUCGUGGUGUUGGUUGGAGGGCUUUCCAUUCGACCCGUCUUGAAACACGAACCAAGGAGUCUAACAUGUGUGCGAAUCGGUGGGUUUGUAAACCUACGAGGCGCAAGGAAGCUGACAGGCGAGAACCCCUCUCCAUGGGAUGAAUUGUCGACCGACCUUGAGCUUGUGUGAAGGGUUCGAGUGCGAGCACACCUGUUGGGACCCGAAAGAUGGUGAACUAUGCCUGAGCAGGGCGAAGCUAAAGGAAACUCUAGUGGAGGCCCGUAGUGAUACUAACGUGCAAAUCGUUCGUCUGACUUGGGUAUAGGGGCGAAAGACUAAUCGAACCAUCUAGUAGCUGGUUUCCUCUGAAGUUUCCCUCGGGAUAGUUGGAGCUCACGUGCAAGUUUUAUCGGGUAAAGCAAAUGAUUAGAGGCAUCGGGGGCGUAAUGCCCUUGACCUAUUCUCAAACUUUAAAUAGGUAAGAUGGUGCAACUACUCCAUUGAGCCGUGCCACGGAAUCGAGAGCUCCAAGUGGGUCAUUUUUGGUAAGCGGAACUGGUGAUGUGGGAUGAACCAAAAGUCGAGUUACGGUGCCAAACUGCGCGCUAAAACAGAUCCCACAAAGGGUGUUGGUUGAUUAAGAUAGCAUGACGGUGGUCAUGGAAGUCGAAAUACGCUAAGGAGUGUGUAACAACUCACCUGCCGAAUCAACUAGCCCCGAAAAUGGAUGGCGCUGAAGCGCGCGACCUAUACUCGACCGUCAGAGCAAUUGCCAGGCUUCGAUGAGUAGGAGGAUGUGGGGGUCAUUGAGAAACCUUGGGUGUGAGCCUGGGUGGACCAGUCCCCGAUGCAGAUCUUGGUGGUAGUAGAAAAUAUUCAAAUGAGAACUUUGAAGACUGAAGUGGGGAAAGGUUCCAUGUGAACAUCACUUGGACAUGGGUUAGUCGAUCCUAAGAGAUGGGGAAGCCCUGUAUCAAGGGUGCACUCUUCACUAACAUCGAAAGGGAAUCGGGUUAAUAUUCUCGAACCGGGACAUGGCGGCAGACGACAACGUUAGGAAAUUCGGAGACAUCGUCGGGGGCCCCAGGAAGAGUUAU